rnacentral:lncRNA from 1 species
CAAUCAAUCAAUGCAUGUUUCCGUUUCAUGUGUUAAAUACGGGAUCCAAGAUGUUUUUUUCGCUUGUUUAAAUUGAGCCUAUCUAACGUGUUUAACCAGCCAACGUGUUUAACCAACGUGUUUAACCAACUUGUUUAACCAACCAACCAACUAACCAACCAACCAACCAAUCAACCAAUCACUGCAUGUUUCCGUUUCAUGUGUUAAAUACGGGAUCCAAGAUGGUUUUUUAUCGCUUGUUAAAAUUGAGCCUAUCAAACGUGUUUAAACUACGUGUUUAACCAGCAUGUUUAACCAACGUGUUUAACCAGCAUGUUUAACCAACGUGUUUAAUCAACCAACUAACCAACCAACCAAUAAAUCAAUGCAUGUUUCCGUUUCAUUUGUUAAAUACGGGAUCCAAGAUGUUUUUUUUCGCUUGUUUAAAUUGAGCCUUUCCAACGUGUUUAACCAGCCAACAUGUUUAACCAACGUGUUCAACCAACAUGUUUAACUAACGUGUUUAACCAACCAACCAACCAAUCAAUCACUUAAUGUAUGUUUCCGUGUCAUGCGUUUAAUACAGGAUGCAAGGUCUCUUGAGGUUUUUUUCCCCUUGUUCUAAGUGACCCUAUCAAACGUGUUUAAUCAACCAACCAACCAACCAACCAACAAACCAACCAACCAACCAACCAACCAAUCAAUCAACCAACUAAUCAAUCAAUCAAUAUGUAUGACUGUUUAUUUAUGACAGUAUAUUGAAGGAACAAACUCUCAAUUAUUCAAGAAAAUUUUUAUUUUAUUAUUGUUCUUACGUCUCUUCUGAAAAAAAAUCCACAUAUUCUCUGAAACUACAAGUCCAAUCGACCUGAAAAUUUGCAGUCAGCAGGGCAUACAUGUACUGAAGGUUCAUAAAAAAACUUUUUGCAGAUAUCUCUCAAGACUUUUCCUAGAAAAAAGAAAUGGCAAUGCAGUAAAAAUCGCUUGCUAGGUCCGUCAAUCUCAGUAAAAACCUACAAUAAAAUGUCCGCUCCGAGAUUGAAAUACUAAUCUGUGUUACAAACAGGUGCUGAAAAAUGGACAUUAUCAAAAAAUAAUCAUUAAAUGUGUUUUAAAGUUACACCGGAUCGAUUAAAUCCAAAACAUGCACUGCUGGUGAACUGUGAUCAAAAUGUCAAUUUCCUACAAUGACAAAAGAAAUUACAUUGUGUACAUUCCGUCUCUAGAGAUGUUGUCUAUUCAACGUCUCCACCUAAAAAGAAAUAAAAAGACUAAGUUUUUCUUAAUAUAAACCCGCGUCACGUGAUGUCUCCUCAAUCUUGCGCGCGCGCUGUAUCUAAAAUAAAAGAAAAACUUUCCAAACUAAACAUGAAACUUCUCCGGUAACAUAAUAAUAUAGACCCCAUACCAAAGCAAACAAACAAACAAAUAAACAAAUACGCCCCCCCCCCUUUUCCAAAUCAAUCAAUAAAAAAAAAAUCAAUUAUCCAUUCAUCAGAGGGGAAAGACUGC